rnacentral:rRNA from 1 species
GACGAACGCUGGCGGCGUGCUUAACACAUGCAAGUCGAACGUGAUUUUUGUGGAAAUUCUUUCGGGAAUGGAAAUGAAAUGAAAGUGGCGAACGGGUGAGUAACACGUGAGCAACCUACCUUACACAGGGGGAUAGCCGUUGGAAACGACGAUUAAUACCGCAUGAGACCACAGAAUCGCAUGAUAUAGGGGUCAAAGAUUUAUCGGUGUAAGAAGGGCUCGCGUCUGAUUAGCUAGUUGGAAGGGUAAAGGCCUACCAAGGCGACGAUCAGUAGCCGGUCUGAGAGGAUGAACGGCCACAUUGGAACUGAGACACGGUCCAAACUCCUACGGGAGGCAGCAGUGGGGAAUAUUGCACAAUGGGGGGAACCCUGAUGCAGCGACGCCGCGUGAGCGAAGAAGGUUAUCGAAUCGUAAAGCUCUGUCCGAUGAGAAGAUAAUGACGGUAUCAUAGGAGGAAGCCCCGGCUAAAUAC